UUUUUGCGUUAGCGAUUGCAGUGGAAAGCCCACAGCGACGUAGGAGCGAGGACUUGUAACGGAAAGCGCGACCCCCG
rnacentral:sRNA from 1 species